rnacentral:misc_RNA from 1 species
AAGUCGUAACAAGGUUUCCGUAGGUGAACCUGCGGAAGGAUCAUUAUCAUAACGUAUCCACGUAUAAACCAACUUUAAAUUGAUGUGAAACGUAACUGUUUUAACACCUCGAGAUAAUCAGAUGAUUGCUAUACUUUACAUUGUUUGCGUGAUUAAAGCAAAAAACGGUUUAGUAUGGACCUGUGCCUGUAACAAGGUGCUAGCGCUGAUUAUUUGGAGUGUAAAAAUUUAAUCAACUAUUAACCCAUUGAACCGAAUUACUAUAUUCUUAACUGAGUUUAGUUAUUCAUUUUAAUUUCUAUUGUGUGAACUGAAUUGUCUACUUACUUGACACCGUCAUUGGUGGAGAGAAGUCGAUUAUAUUUACGAAACAUUAUAAAUUUCUAUGAACAACUCUUAGCAACGGAUAUCUUGGUUCUC